AUGGGGGAAGGGGCAGAGGUAAAGGAAUUGCCGCCUUAUUUCUGGAAGCACAGCCUCUUUUUUCAAACUCAGCCAAAAAAAAAAAGACUCAGGCAUUUCAGGGUCCCGUCCUUCUCGCUGAUAGGGGAGACGCCACCCCGUCCGCGGGCUCGCCGCGCGCUUCCCUUACAAGGAGCGCGGCUGGAAGCCCUUCCCCACGGUCCGGGCGGACGGAAGGGGCGUCCCCAGGCCUCCUGGGGCGAGACGGCUCCUGGCUCCCAACACCUCCGCCAGGGGCCGCUGCUGCCUCCGCGGGUGAGACGGCGUCACUUCCCGGGGAUUCGGCCUCCAGGAAAGGGACGGCCUCACUUCCAAAAAAGGAAUUUUCACUCAGCGCCCGGUUCCUUGACUCAGCCGCCGCCUGACUCAGCGCCCUUUCCUCUCCACAUCCAGGGCUCCCGGGCUGUUCUAGGAGAGCAUCCUCAGGACAGUCGCGGGCAGGGCCGGGUCCCAGCUGUCCGGCUGUCAUCACCUGCCGUGGGAUUCCUUGGGCUGCUGCUGCCCGCCAGGCCUGGCCCAGGAUGCAGAUGGUCGCAUAAAAAUAGUCAGGGGCCUGGAGUCAACCCCACUGCACCUGAAACGGGUCAUGUCAGCAGAGCUGCGGGUGCUGGCCCACGACCAGGGUCAGGAAGCCAGGGUCCAGGCAGCGGUUGCCAGUCAGUGAAGCCAGGGGAAGAUGUUCGACCGGCAGCGGUUGUACCUGGGGCAACACAGCUGGGAACUAGGAGAGGGUAGGCUUCGUGUUCAGUAUUCUAAUCCCAGUAAAAUGAACUUAAAAAAUAAAACAAGCUGGAGUCAAACGUGUGGCUGAGGA
rnacentral:lncRNA from 1 species